CAUAGUUGCAGAAUAUGAUGGUUGCCAUGGAUGGAAGUCCCAAUUUGGAGGAUCAUACACCUCUCUCUUUAUGCCCAAGAGAAUGCCUGUAGUAUGCCAAUUGUCUCUUGUUCACUAAUUCACUAUGGCUGUAAGUUAUUGUGCCUUCAAAUCUCUUAAUGUCUUUUGGCCUGAAAAUAUCCGGCCACUUGUUCUCUAGGGACAGAUUUGAAUUGACAUUCAACAAUAUAUGGAUUAAUGAUGUCUGCUAGUCAGCCGUAAACUUCAUUGAGACUAUUGUGUUGGUUCGUUGCUUCAUAACUAUUUUGGUAACAAACGGGUCUGAUAUGGUUAUCCUUCAUGAAACAUUUGGAAUCUUAGGAUGUUUCCAAUUGAAAGUAUUAGUUUUUUUUUUUNNNNNNNNNNNNNNNNNNNNCAUAUGAAGUUCCGUACUUGCAGGAAUUCUAAUCUGUAAUUAAGUAUAAAACUAUGAAUAAACCAUCUGGCUGGGCACCAAACCAAAUUCUUUGUAACUAGUUAAUCAAAGAGAGUUGUGGCAAUUUAAGCAAAAGAAUUAGUCAUUUGGUGUAUAUAAAUUUGAUGUAUGAAGAUCUACACAUGUAUGUAUGUAAGCUAGUAUCUAGUUUUUCAUGAGGAGAAUAUAUAUGGAUGGCUAGUUUCCUAUAAGUAUCUGGUCUUCCUAAAAGUAGUAGCUUAUGUCCUAAAUUUAUAUUGUCGAUUUCUCAUAUGAUCAAAAUACAUUGAGAGAAAUCAUUGAAGAUUUCCUUUGAAAUUGACGGCUUGCCACACUAAAUUUUCCUUCACAUUUGAGAUAUAUGGCUGAUUUCAUUGCAGUUGGUUGCUCCAUUGCAGUAAAUUCAUCUUCCAAAUGGUAA
rnacentral:lncRNA from 1 species